GGAUUGUGGCUCAGUGGUAAAGUGCUCGCCUAGCACGGGCGGGACCUGGGCUCGAUUCUCAGCACCA
rnacentral:tRNA from 1 species